rnacentral:rRNA from 1 species
GCUUACACAUGCAAGUCGAGGGGUAUUGGUUUUCGGACCAAGAGACCGGCGCACGGGUGCGUAACGCGUAUGCAAUCUACCUUUUGCAGAGGGAUAGCCCAGAGAAAUUUGGAUUAAUACCUCAUAGUAUAGUACCUUGGCAUCAAGGAGCUAUUAAAGUCACAACGGCAAAAGAUGAGCAUGCGUCCCAUUAGCUAGUUGGUAAGGUAACGGCUUACCAAGGCGACGAUGGGUAGGGGUCCUGAGAGGGAGAUCCCCCACACUGGUACUGAGACACGGACCAGACUCCUACGGGAGGCAGCAGUGAGGAAUAUUGGACAAUGGGCGCAAGCCUGAUCCAGCCAUGCCGCGUGCAGGAUGACGGUCCUAUGGAUUGUAAACUGCUUUUAUACAGGAAGAAACACUGGUUCGUGAACCAGCUUGACGGUACUGUAAGAAUAAGGAUCGGCUAACUCCGUGCCAGCAGCCGCGGUAAUACGGAGGAUCCAAGCGUUAUCCGGAAUCAUUGGGUUUAAAGGGUCCGUAGGCGGUUUGGUAAGUCAGUGGUGAAAGCCCAUCGCUCAACGGUGGAACGGCCAUUGAUACUGCCAGACUUGAAUUACUGGGAAGUAACUAGAAUAUGUAGUGUAGCGGUGAAAUGCUUAGAGAUUACAUGGAAUACCAAUUGCGAAGGCAGGUUACUACNANUGGAUUGACGCUGAUGGACGAAAGCGUGGGUAGCGAACAGGAUUAGAUACCCUGGUAGUCCACGCCGUAAACGAUGGAUACUAGCUGUUGGGAGUAAUCUCAGUGGCUAAGCGAAAGUGAUAAGUAUCCCACCUGGGGAGUACGAACGCAAGNNUGAAACUCAAAGGAAUUGACGGGGGCCCGCACAAGCGGUGGAGCAUGUGGUUUAAUUCGAUGAUACGCGAGGAACCUUACCAAGGCUUAAAUGUAGAUUGACCGGUUUGGAAACAGACCNNUUCGCAAGANAAUUUACAAGGUGCUGCAUGGNNGUCGUCAGCUCGUGCCGNGAGGUGUCAGGUUAAGUCCUAUAACGAGCGCAACCCCC